rnacentral:rRNA from 2 species
AGCUGGCUGGUGCCAUGAGGUGACUUCUGCCCAGUGCUCUGAUUGUUACUGCGAAGAGAUUCAGCCAAGCGCGGGUAAACGGCGGGAGUAACUAUGACUCUCUUAAGGUAGCCAAAUGCCUCGUCAACCAAUUAUUGACGCGCAUGAAUGGAUCAACGAGAUUCCUGCUGUCCCUAGUUGCUGUCUGGUGAACCAACAGCCAAGGGAACGGGCUUGGAUGUGUCAGCGGGGAAAGAAGACCCUGUUGAGUUUGACUCUAGUUUGAUGCUGUGCAGUGACAUGUGGGGUGUAGCACAGGUGGGAGGCCAGUGCCAUGGCACUACCCCGAGAGGAGAAGACCACAGGAUGACCAAGGUGCAAACCAGCAGUGAAAUACCACUACCUUCACCGUCGCUUUACUCAUCGAGUUGCCUGGGAACGGCAGCCAUGAAUUCGGCUCUUUCGGUCUCGGCCAAAGAACUGUGGCUAUCCACCGAUUCGUGCUCAAAGUGUGGCCUCGCGUCACACGACCCUGGAAGCAGCAAUCCAAUCAGAAGCCUCGAGACAUUGAUCAGUUGGGGAGUUUGGCUGGGGCGGCACGCCUGUUACAGGACAACGCAGGCGUCCUGAAGCAAUGCUCAGAUGGAACAGAAAUCUCACAUGGAGGAGCAGGCCAAAGGUGCUGCUGAUGCGUCGACUCUCAGUACGAGUCCAAAACGUGCAAGUGUGGCCUUGCGAUCCUUUGGUCAAGCACACGAGUUUGGGAUAUUGAAGCCAGAGGUGUCAGAAAAAUUACCACAGGGAUAACUGGCUUGUGGCUGCCAAGCGUUCAAAGCGACGUCGCUUUUUGAUCCUUCGAUGUCGGCUCUUCCUAGCUUCCCACCCGCAGCCGAGUGGAAGAGUUGGAUUGUUCACCCACCAACAGGGAACGUGAGCUGG